CUUCCCUGCUGGAUGUGCAUUGAAAUGGCUAAAUAACAGCAGGCGUUCCGAAAUAUAAGUCAUACCAUUUGAUGCACAAUAAAAACCUGAGAUGAAAGAUUGGCAAAAAAGUGUCAUGGUCUUGAUGGAAUAUGCUGUGCUCCUCUUUGACAUAUGUUUAAUAAUGACUGGUGAGGGAAAACUAUCUGGAAUGCUUCAACCCAGGCCACGUAGUAAUCCAAGUGUUCAGACAUCUAGAAUAUGCUCAUGGUCAGCACUCCAAGCGUUCCAUUGUUAAUAGGGAGACUGUGACAAAACAGUACUUACCAACAAACACCGGAGAUACCAGACCAACCAGACGUUAUGCUACAUAUAUAUGGACACAGACACUGCAAUUCAUUGCAUAUUCCAACACAGCAUAAGACUUCGAACUGUUUCAUAGGCAGUGUUAACGUCAUAAAUUGAAAUGAUAUUUCUUUUCUUUUUACGUUUGAUUUUGCUUUGAAAAAGCCAUUAGCAUUUGAUUUUCGAAAAAUAUAUAUUUUUACAGUGUCAACUGGAUUAUCGUCUUGUACAUAUCUUCCUCCAAGCAUUUAAACAAUAUUAAAUUAUAAACGAAAUUUAAAUAAAACAUUAUUGAAUCCUAUGAUAAUAUAUUAAACAUAUACUACCGUGUAAUAUAGCCAUGAGUUUAAUUUCAAUUAAACGUUCAAACUAUUAUUUUUAUAGAAAUUAAGUGAAUGUUUCGAUGUUUCUGAAUACAAAUUACUUGUUUAUUUUUACUUUGACUGGCACAUCUUUAAACGCACAUUGGUGUAUAUAGUGUAUACUCCAGAGUAACAGAAUAGAAAUAGUAGUUAAUAUUUGCAUAAAACUCUGAACGUAUAACAACUUUAUAUGACAAUCCGCACCACUUAUUAAGCUACUUAUUUUGUUAAAUUAGACGAUCUUGUAAAAUAGCUAUAUAUUUUAUAGUCGUUUUGUGUAUCAUGUCAGCAACUGUUGAUUUUAUGAAGAAUUAUAAAUGGAUCUAAAAUACUGUUUGCUUAACAGUUGUUACAAGUAAUGACACAAUAAGGAUUGAUUUAUGAAUUGUCUUCAUACAAAAAAUACAACCAGUAAAAAUUGUAUUUUCGAACUGUUUCCCAAUGCAAUACCUGUCACUCACAGUUUUGAUGCAUAAUAGUAUGAACUUUACUCCUAACCUGAACUAAGGCCGGUUGGUGGUUAUACGAAUCAGUCAUCAUCAUCAUCAUCAUCACCACCACCACCAACACCAACACCAGCAUCAUCAUCAUCAAUCAUCUACAACAUCAUCAUCAAUCAUAAUCAUCAUCAUCAUCAUCAUCAUCAUCAUCAUCAUCAUCAUCAUCAUCAUCAUCAUCAUAAUUAUCAUCACCAUCAUCAUCAUCAUCAUCAUCAUCAUCAUCAUCAUCAUCAUCAUCAUCAUCUUCAUCACCACCACCUACACCACUACCACAACCAUCAACAUCAUCAAUCAUCAACAACAUCUACGCAUCAUCAUCACGCCAUCAUUUUUGUCGUCAUCGUCACAUCAUAAAUAGUAUCAUUGUCGUGGUAGUAUCAUCAUUAUUAUAAUCAUUAUAUAAUCGCCAUCGUCACCGCAUUAUCAUUGUCGUCAUUACAUCAUCAUUAUCAUUAUCAUCACCCUAGUCGUCGUAGUCCUUGUAUUCUUAAUAUUAUAUCAUCAUCGUCGUUGUCGUCGCAUCAUCUUUACUAUCAUCUUCAGCACCAUGCUGCACGUUUGCAUUUAAUUGACAUAGCAUUCAUAAUAUUCGUACUCUAAUUAUGCACCUAGUAAAUACGAAUUUAAGUUAUAAUAACUUAAAAAUUAGCAGCCUGAAACCAAUCGUAUUUUGUUGUGGCCCAAUUUUCAUCAUAAUGACACAAACUUUUCUAAGGAGUGUCGGGUUUCCCGGCAGAAACAGAAUCAUAUUCAUUAUUGUGUAAUAGCAAACACCCAUUUUGAUGUCAUAUUU